UAAGACGAAGGUGGCAACCGUUGCUCGGAUUCACUGGGCAUAAAGCGCGCGUAGGUGGUGACGCAAGUCACUGGUGAAAUCCCCCGGCCCAACCGGGGAAUUGCCGGUGAAACUGCGUUGCUUGAGGACGGGAGGGGAGAGUGGAACUCUUGGUGUAGCGGUGAAAUGCGUAGAUAUCAAGAGGAACGCCGGUGGCGAAAGCGGCUCUCUGGACCGUACCUGACACUGAGGCGCGAAAGCUAGGGGAGCAAACAGGAUUAGAUACCCUGGUAGUCCUAGCUGUAAACGAUGGGCACUGGGUAGGGGGCGUUCCUAUGCGCUCUCUGCCGGAGCAAAUGUGUUAAGUGCCCCGCCUGGGGAGUAUGGUCGCAAGGCUG
rnacentral:rRNA from 1 species